UGAUAAGAGCAAUAGCACUGAUUGAGUGGUUAUUAUGUGCUGGACACUGUUCUGUACAUGUUAACUUAUUUCAUAACAAUAUUAUGAGGUAGGUAUUAUUAUUAUCCCCAGUUUACAGAUAAGAAAACUGAGGCCCGGAUUAAACAACCUGCAGUGCUCACACAGCUAGCAAAUGAUAGAGCCAGGAUUCAAACCUAAAGCCUUGAAGACUAUGCAGCAGUGGUUCUUAAUCAAGGGGUUAUUUUACUCCCCGGGGGACAUAGGAAAUGCUUGGAAACAUUUUUGGUUGUCACAACUGGGGAACUGCUCACUACUACAUAGUAAAUAGAGGCCAGGGAAGCUGCUAAACAUUCUGCACUGCACAGGGCAAAGAAUGAUCUGGCUCAGAUGUCAAUAGUGCCAAGUUUGAGAAACCCGUGUAGACCACCCAUUAUAUCAUCUCUUUAGGAUUCCCGAAAGCUCCUUUACCUGGUUCUCCAUCUUUGAUCUGCCUGCGCAACUGAAAUGCCUCACAAUGGGUGGGCUGCUGUAUCCACAGUGGCCCAUCCCACGGAGGGGAGCACAGGCGUCCUGAGAGCACACCCUGGCUCUUGGGGAGCCUAAAGGGUAGAAACCUCAUGAGAAAAGAGUGCUGAAUGCCAAAAGCACAAAGCACAAGGCUUUAGGUCCAUUGUCAUUGCUGGUCCCAAGAGGGGCAGAGGCUGCGGAAGGAGCUUGUGGGUUUGUUACCUUAGGGAGGAGUGCCCCUUCCCCUGACAGGAACCAGCCAGAAAGCCCCAGGUCACUGAAGCCCCAAAGAGAGUGCUUCACAUGCCCCACAUACCUGCUUCUCCCUCUGCUCCUGGCCCCCAGGCACUAACCCCACAUCUUACCCCAUCCAGCCCUCUGAGAGCAGAUCCUUCUUACCCCCUCCAUGUCUUCUAGAUACUGACCCAGCCGCCACUGGAAGCUUCCUGGGGUGGGAUGAGUCCUGUUUCCCUUGAACCCUCGCACUAGCUCACUGCAGGUCCCUCGUGGGGAAGUCUCAGUGGCAUCCUUCCAGAGGACACAGCAGGAAGGCUGCUCCUAAUCCUGGCAGCUCGGGCAUCACUUCUGGAAGGCGGUCCUGUUGUGGAAAGAACACUGCACAAGGAAUUGGCUGACCUAGGCUGGUGGAUCUGUGUACUCAGGGGCCUGGCAUGGGAGUCAGUGCGAGCCUGAGUUACAUUUGUCUCCUCCACGGUGCCUGGCACGGGGCUUUGCGUGGGGCUGGCUGUCAACAGUUACUUUCUUGGGUGGAAUAAAUGCAUCACUGCUCUGCUCUGCUCUCUGAUCUGGACAGAUUGAAACCACCUCCACAGACAGAUCUGGGUGGCGGCGGCAGUCCGCUCCAUGGCAGAGGAUGCAGGAUACACGCGAUCCACGUAUGGAACACGACUGAAGGGCUUACCAGCCUCCUCCUGCCUGCUGUGCAGGUGCCUGGACAGCGUGGUCAUGGUUUCGCACACGUCCUCCUGUGCUUCCUGCGGAACUGAUCUCACCCUGAACUUCGGAGCUGGUCUUGAUUGGUGUAGGGCUAUCCCAACCCUCUCACCACCAUUAUUGGUUCAGGAACUCAGCCCAGGAAAGCUGAAAACACAAGUGCAGCAAAACAAGGCUGGAAUGGCCCUUCCCGCGGAGGAGAGAGAGAGGGAAGUUGUUCAGGAAGCCAAGCAAAGGCAAUCAGAAAUUGAGGACCCAUCUCCAAGGGAAAACACAAAUAACGCAGUCAGCCUGGGCUGGAUCAACUGAAUCUAGACGUGGUGGAAGAUCAGGUGUGGCAGAGCUGCCAUGCCAUGAGUGCACUCAAGCAGUGACAUGGAGAGACCCACAUGGAGAAGAACUGAGUCCCCUGACCUGAGCCAGCAGCAGUUUGGCAGUCAGGUGAGUGAGCACCUUGGAAAUGGAUCCUCCUGCCCCAGCCAAGCCUUCAGAUGAUUGUAGCCCCAGCUGACGUAUGACUGCAACCACAUGAGAGACCCUGGGCCAGAACUGCCCCCUGCGUCCUUCCCAAAUUCCUGACCAACAGAAACUGUGAGAGAUAAUAAAUGAUUGUUUUUUUUUAAGCCAUUAAACUUUGGGUGACUUCUUAGGCAGUAUUAGAUAACCAGGGGGCAUAGCAUAAGGUCAUGCACAAAGUGGCGGGGUGAAAACACAGCUAUGAGGAAGGCCCUUUUUCUGUGGGACAGAGGGUCAGGGAGCACCUGAAACAAGGGGAGGGCUAAUGCUAUGCCUGAGGGCAUCUAAGAGUCAGGUCUGAAAGAAGGGACCACUGAUGAGACCAUCCAAGAAUAAAUGUGGAGGGCAGAAUUUUUCAGCUAUUAUCUCCUGCAGAGAAGACCAAAGCCAGGAGAUCCAACCAAAUUAUAUCUGCAAGAAUCUAGAACCUGUGUAACUUCCCCAGGUUUGUUGUUUUUGUUACCCUGGUCUAUUUUGCAGAGUGAAAAGCUCUUGAGUGUUUGUCUAGGGUAACACAUCACAAAGAGUCAGGGAGAGGGGUGGGAGGAGGCAGCUACCAGGAGGGGAGUGAGGCCCUGGGACCUGCUGAGGGAAUCAAGUCAGGACAGAAGGCCGACUGGGCCUGAGUCACGCCCCCAGGGCUUCAUAGUUGAAAGUCCACUGCACAUGAAUGUUGCACAGAGUGAAAACGUUUCAGUAACAUCCUGGGGCAUAGGCACAGCCGUUUCCAAAUCUGCCCUCUUCCUAAGACUCUUUGCUUUUAUCAGAGCUGGCACCUCGCAGGUGGAAAUGUGGAGUCAUCUCAGUUAGCUGUGUGAGGCAUAUGCCCAGCAAAUUAUUUAUCCUCAAACAACCCCCUCCUGACAACUGUCUGGCUGCUUAUUUGUGUAAUUAAUUUACGUCGUUCAGUUGAAGUCUGUUGAAUUAUUUCAAAAUAAGUUUUAUCUGGAACUCCCAUAUAUGAAACCAAUAAAAGCAGUGCUGUUGGGAGACGCAAGAGGGAAGAGA